UGGGGAAUAUUGCACAAUGGGCGCAAGCCUGAUGCAGCCAUGCCGCGGGUAUGAAGAAGGCCUUCGGGUUGUAAAGUACUUUCAGUCGGGAGGAAGGUGGUAAGGUUAAUAACCUUGGCAAUUGACGUUACCGACAGAAGAAGCACCGGCUAACUCCGUGCCAGCAGCCGCGGUAAUACGGAGGGUGCAAGCGUUAAUCGGAAUUACUGGGCGUAAAGCGCACGCAGGCGGUUGAUUGAGUCAGAUGUGAAAUCCCCGGGCUUAACCCGGGAAUUGCAUCUGAUACUGGUCAGCUAGAGUCUUGUAGAGGGGGGUAGAAUUCCAUGUGUAGCGGUGAAAUGCGUAGAGAUGUGGAGGAAUACCGGUGGCGAAGGCGGCCCCCUGGACAAAGACUGACGCUCAGGUGCGAAAGCGUGGGGAGCAAACAGG
rnacentral:rRNA from 1 species